rnacentral:rRNA from 1 species
GGCGGCGUGCUUAACACAUGCAAGUCGAACCGUAAAGGCCCUGCUUUUGUGGGGUGCUCGAGUGGCGAACGGGUGAGUAACACGUGAGUAACCUGCCCUUGACUUUGGGAUAACUUCAGGAAACUGGGGCUAAUACCGGAUAGGAGCUCCUGCUGCAUGGUGGGGGUUGGAAAGUUUCGGCGGUUGGGGAUGGACUCGCGGCUUAUCAGCUUGUUGGUGGGGUAGUGGCUUACCAAGGCUUUGACGGGUAGCCGGCCUGAGAGGGUGACCGGCCACAUUGGGACUGAGAUACGGCCCAGACUCCUACGGGAGGCAGCAGUGGGGAAUAUUGCACAAUGGGCGGAAGCCUGAUGCAGCAACGCCGCGUGCGGGAUGACGGCCUUCGGGUUGUAAACCGCUUUCGCCUGUGACGAAGCGUGAGUGACGGUAAUGGGUAAAGAAGCACCGGCUAACUACGUGCCAGCAGCCGCGGUGAUACGUAGGGUGCGAGCGUUGUCCGGAUUUAUUGGGCGUAAAGGGCUCGUAGGUGGUUGAUCGCGUCGGAAGUGUAAUCUUGGGGCUUAACCCUGAGCGUGCUUUCGAUACGGGUUGACUUGAGGAAGGUAGGGGAGAAUGGAAUUCCUGGUGGAGCGGUGGAAUGCGCAGAUAUCAGGAGGAACACCAGUGGCGAAGGCGGUUCUCUGGGCCUUUCCUGACGCUGAGGAGCGAAAGCGUGGGGAGCGAACAGGCUUAGAUACCCUGGUAGUCCACGCUGUAAACGGUGGGUACUAGGUGUGGGGUCCAUUCCACGGGUUCCGUGCCGUAGCUAACGCUUUAAGUACCCCGCCUGGGGAGUACGGCCGCAAGGCUAAAACUCAAAGGAAUUGACGGGGCCCCGCACAAGCGGCGGAGCAUGCGGAUUAAUUCGAUGCAACGCGUAGAACCUUACCUGGGUUUGACAUGGAUCGGGAGUGCUCAGAGAUGGGUGUGCCUCUUUUGGGGUCGGUUCACAGGUGGUGCAUGGCUGUCGUCAGCUCGUGUCGUGAGAUGUUGGGUUAAGUCCCGCAACGAGCGCAACCCUUGUUCACUGUUGCCAGCACGUUAUGGUGGGGACUCAGUGGAGACCGCCGGGGUCAACUCGGAGGAAGGUGGGGAUGACGUCAAGUCAUCAUGCCCCUUAUGUCCAGGGCUUCACGCAUGCUACAAUGGCUGGUACAGAGAGUGGCGAGCCUGUGAGGGUGAGCGAAUCUCGGAAAGCCGGUCUCAGUUCGGAUUGGGGUCUGCAACUCGACCUCAUGAAGUCGGAGUCGCUAGUAAUCGCAGAUCAGCAACGCUGCGGUGAAUACGUUCCCGGGGCUUGUACACACCGCCCGUCAAGUCAUGAAAGUUGGUAACACCCGAAGCCGGUGGCCUAACCGUUGUGGGGGAGCCGUCGAAGGUGGGACUGGUGA